rnacentral:rRNA from 1 species
UCAGGACGAACGCUGGCGGCGUGCUUAACACAUGCAAGUCGAACGGUGAAGCCCAGCUUGCUGGGUGGAUCAGUGGCGAACGGGUGAGUAACACGUGAGCAACCUGCCCUCCACUUCGGGAUAAGCCUUGGAAACGGGGUCUAAUACCGGAUAUGAGCUCGCAUCGCAUGGUGUGGGUUGGAAAGUUUUUCGGUGGGGGAUGGGCUCGCGGCCUAUCAGCUUGUUGGUGGGGUGAUGGCCUACCAAGGCGUCGACGGGUAGCCGGCCUGAGAGGGCGACCGGCCACACUGGGACUGAGACACGGCCCAGACUCCUACGGGAGGCAGCAGUGGGGAAUAUUGCACAAUGGGCGAAAGCCUGAUGCAGCGACGCCGCGUGAGGGAUGACGGCCUUCGGGUUGUAAACCUCUUUCAGCAGGGAAGAAGGCUUCGGUUGACGGUACCUGCAGAAGAAGCGCCGGCUAACUACGUGCCAGCAGCCGCGGUAAUACGUAGGGCGCAAGCGUUGUCCGGAAUUAUUGGGCGUAAAGAGCUCGUAGGCGGUCUGUCGCGUCUGGUGUGAAAUCCCGAGGCUCAACCUCGGGCUUGCAUCGGGUACGGGCAGACUAGAGUGCGGUAGGGGAGACUGGAAUUCCUGGUGUAGCGGUGGAAUGCGCAGAUAUCAGGAGGAACACCGAUGGCGAAGGCAGGUCUCUGGGCCGCAACUGACGCUGAGGAGCGAAAGCAUGGGGAGCGAACAGGAUUAGAUACCCUGGUAGUCCAUGCCGUAAACGUUGGGCACUAGGUGUGGGGCUCAUUCCACGAGUUCCGCGCCGCAGCUAACGCAUUAAGUGCCCCGCCUGGGGAGUACGGCCGCAAGGCUAAAACUCAAAGGAAUUGACGGGGGCCCGCACAAGCGGCGGAGCAUGCGGAUUAAUUCGAUGCAACGCGAAGAACCUUACCAAGGCUUGACAUGCACCGGACGCUUCCAGAGAUGGUUGUUCCGCAAGGUCGGUGCACAGGUGGUGCAUGGUUGUCGUCAGCUCGUGUCGUGAGAUGUUGGGUUAAGUCC